rnacentral:lncRNA from 1 species
AUUACAAUGAGAGCUAACUUUAAAUAUUACAAAAUAGAAACCAUUACUGCAAUCAUAAAUAAACUCUACAUAUAGUGUGCAGUGUUUUUACAUUGCCAUAACAUUUAACAGAAUUUGUUUAUAAAUUAUUACUUUAUAUAAUAUUGCCAAGAACUCAAAUCCUUGAAUCUGAGAGUGUAUGCACUAUUUUAAGAUUGAACUGCAAAGCAUGCAAGCAAGCAUUGCAGUUCAGUCUUGAUGUAGAAUUUCUUAUAGUGUAUAUGUAACUUUAUAUAUACAGGCAAUUCCCAAAUUGCAUAAAAUUUUUUGGGUAUUGAUCAGGCCUGAAUCAAGAUCUUGCCAAAAACCCAAAAGGUACAAGAUUCAGAACUGAAUCUAGAUCUCCAAGAUCAUAAACCAAGUGAUUCAUGUGCUUAUUCUUUAAUAUAACUAUUUUGAAUAUUGCAUCAUUAUGACACUAUGUUUUGAUUUAUGUAGGGUUGUGCUGAAUGAGCCACAUACACAGAUCAGGGAUUGCCUGUAUUUUACUUUUGAAAUUUGUCAUGCUUAAAUAUUAUUUCAUUGCUAGUGGAAUCUGUUAUCAUGUUUCAAGCCAGAAAUAUUUUUCUUUAGUGUUUAGUGUUAUUUUUUUGAGAGAUUUAUUUGAAAGUGAUAUUGGUGAGUAUAUACUCUCUUCAUUGUGUAAAACUGACUUAAAACUAUUUUUCACUCAAAAGCAGUUU